AAAUUAAUUUCGCAGUGGGCUGUACAGAAGGAAACUUUUGUACGAAAACCUGUCAAACUCGGGGAAGCCGUUAGCAGGGUAAUCCCGAGCCAAGCUCAGCCAAUGUUAAAAUUGGUUGAGAAGGUGUAGAGACUUGAUGGCAGGCACCUAAAACAUCUCUAUGAGAUGGUAUGGUGAAGGUAAAGUCCAGGCCACGAAUUCUUAAAUUUUA
rnacentral:ncRNA from 1 species